rnacentral:rRNA from 1 species
AUAGCGACUAUCGUGGCAUAUCAAUAAGCGGAGGAAAAGAAACUAACAAGGAUUCCCCUAGUAACGGCGAGUGAAGCGGGAAGAGCUCAAAUUUGAAAUCUUAAAGGGUUUCCCUUUACGAAUUGUAGUUUAAAGAAGUGUUUUCUGUUAGAGUUUCGGUAAAAGUUCUUUGGAAUAGGACAUCAUAGAGGGUGAGAAUCCCGUAUUUGACCAUUAUUUCCAGCUGUGUGAUACACUUUCAAAGAGUCGGAUUGUUUGGGAAUGCAGUCCAAAAUGGGUGGUAAAUUUCAUCUAAAGCUAAAUACUGGCGAGAGACCGAUAGCGAACAAGUACCGUGAGGGAAAGAUGAAAGAGAACUUUGAAAAGAGAGUUAAACAGUACGUGAAAUUGUCAAAAGGGAAGCGUUUGACACCAGUGUUGUUUUCUCGAAAAUCAAUUAAAAAUGGUGGGAUGUUGUGUUGUAUUGACUUUAUCAGCUUUCUGCACUUUUUUCCUAUCUUUUUUAAUGCACUUUUCGUUUAACAAGUCAACAUCAGUUUCUUUUGUUGUAAAAGGGUCAUUGGAAGGUGGCUUUCUUUUCGGAGAAAGUGUUUAUAGCCUUUGAUCUCUGCAACCGGAGAGACUGAGGUCUGCAGCGUAGACUCUUCGGGGUUAAAUACAUUUGUGCUAAGCUAUAGCUUUUUAUAGACAACUUGUUGACUAUAUUUAGUCUUGUGGCUUACUCGCUUAUGCUAUUUUACCUACGCUUAGGAUGUUGAUAUGCAUGACUGAUAU